GAUGAACGCUGGCGGCGUGCCUAAUACAUGCAAGUCGAGCGAACAGAUGAGGAGCUUGCUCCUCUGACGUUAGCGGCGGACGGGUGAGUAACACGUGGAUAACCUACCUAUAAGACUGGGAUAACUUCGGGAAACCGGAGCUAAUACCGGAUAAUAUAUUGAACCGCAUGGUUCAAUAGUGAAAGACGGCUUUGCUGUCACUUAUAGAUGGAUCCGCGCCGCAUUAGCUAGUUGGUAAGGUAACGGCUUACCAAGGCAACGAUGCGUAGCCGACCUGAGAGGGUGAUCGGCCACACUGGAACUGAGACACGGUCCAGACUCCUACGGGAGGCAGCAGUAGGGAAUCUUCGGCAAUGGGCGAAAGCCUGACGGAGCAACGCCGCGUGAGUGAUGAAGGUCUUCGGUUCGUAAAGCUCUGUUAUUGGGGAAGAACAGAUGUGUAAGUAACUAUACACGUCUUGACGGUACCUAAUCAGAAAGCAACGGCUAACUACGUG
rnacentral:rRNA from 1 species